GCAUAUGACUACUGGCAGGAUCAACCAGGUAGCAUUCCUCUUCGACGUAGCCCACCAUGCACGGACAAGCCGAGACAUGGUAGACAAUCGUUUUGGAGAAGCGAGAACGCUUAACGAGAGCAAAUUCAGGAUCUUAUAAGACCCAUGCCCACAUUAGGUUCCGUAUACAAGAGACCAAGCGAUGCUUCAUAGGCCACAUUAAUGUUGCAAAUGCAACAACAAGAUGGAUCACAAAGACCGCUUCAAUGUUCAUCCCACGUCACAUGAGCGACGCAUGACGAAUAGGGACAUCAUAAAACCCACACGUUACCAUCAACUAGGUAUGCAACACAGGAAACCCACAAUAUGCUCAAGACAUCUAAGCCUUGCCGCAAAAAUGAAGAGGUAUGCACGCAUGGACGUUGCUGCGCGAGCAGACAGCCAACCACCCGUAACAAACCAAACACCACUCAUGCACCUUUACGGUCGACAUUCCCGAAAACCGCCCAACUAGUAGCCACCCACCCGGCAAAAAGCCAAGCAAGCAACC
rnacentral:misc_RNA from 1 species